rnacentral:pre_miRNA from 1 species
UCAACCCCCAGAAUUCCCCAGCCAGCUGGCUGGGGANUUCAAUUCCCAGAAUUCUCCAGCCAGCUGGCUGGACAAUUCUGGGAGUUGA